rnacentral:rRNA from 1 species
GAUGAACGCUGGCGGCGUGCCUAAUACAUGCAAGUCGAGCGAACAGACGAGGAGCUUGCUCCUCUGACGUUAGCAGCGGACGGGUGAGUGACACGUGGAUAACCUACCUAUAAGACUGGGAUAACUUCGGGAAACCGGAGCUAAUACCGGAUAAUAUAUUGAACCGCAUGGUUCAAUAGUGAAAGACGGUUUUGCUGUCACUUAUAGAUGGAUCCGCGCCGCAUUAGCUAGUUGGUAAGGUAACGGCUUACCAAGGCAACGAUGCGUAGCCGACCUGAGAGGGUGAUCGGCCACACUGGAACUGAGACACGGUCCAGACUCCUACGGGAGGCAGCAGUAGGGAAUCUUCCGCAAUGGGCGAAAGCCUGACGGAGCAACGCCGCGUGAGUGAUGAAGGUCUUCGGAUCGUAAAACUCUGUUAUUAGGGAAGAACAAAUGUGUAAGUAACUAUGCACGUCUUGACGGUACCUAAUCAGAAAGCCACGGCUAACUACGUG